CGGCGAUGACUAAGACUAAACCUCUGCUCUAAAUCUUCAAGUUUCUUUGGAAGCAUAAGGAGUUUGAUCUCUUCUUCUGUUACGAAUCGUCGAUUUUAUAAUUUAAGAUAAUUUCACCCGCCUCCAUCGUUACCGGAAUCUCUCUUUUUCUCCGCCGACCUCCUUCGAAUCGAGUUUUCUUUUACCUUUCUACUCGCGCUGAAGGUUCCAUCGCCACCACGUAAGUUCACUUGUCUAACUCUAAACCAUAUCUCUAAGCUUUGGGGCUUUUCCAUUGGCAAUUCUAGGGUUCUUCGCUAAGUCUAUAUAUAUACUUUGUUAAUCUAGGGUUUUCAGUAGCUUGUGUUAGUCGGGCGACGAAUUCUUCAUGAUUCCGAUUACUCCGGUCGUAUUACAGGGUUCCGUUUGUAUCCAGUUUUACUAAGGAGGGGGUAUUGGAUGAGAGAAUUUGAUAGAAUAGAAUAGAAUAUAAUGGAAUU
rnacentral:lncRNA from 1 species